rnacentral:rRNA from 1 species
UAGUCUUGUAAUUGGAAUGAGUACAAUUUACAUCUCUUCACGAGGAUCAAUUGGAGGGCAAGUCUGGUGCCAGCAGCCGCGGUAAUUCCAGCUCCAAUAGCGUAUAUUAAAGUUGUUGCAGUUAAAACGCUCGUAGUCGGAUUUCGGGGCGGGCCGACCGGUCUGCCGAUGGGUAUGCACUGGCCGGCGCGUCCUUCCACCCGGAGACCGCGCCUACUCUUAACUGAGCGGGCGCGGGAGACGGGUCUUUUACUUUGAAAAAAUCAGAGUGUUUCAAGCAGGCAGUCGCUCUUGCAUGGAUUAGCAUGGGAUAAUGAAAUAGGACUCUGGUGCUAUUUUGUUGGNUUCNAACACCNGAAUAAUGAUUAACAGGGACA